CUCUCUCCAUCCGAGUCCAUUUUGGACUCUCCCGUUAGCAUAUCCUCGAGUUUAAGUUUGAGUCUACCUCCUCGAUCCAACAAAGUUAAAAAGUAAGCUGAACUACAGGUGGAAGAGAGGCCGAGAUACGGCCGGUAUACAUGUUGAAUUCGCCGGAUAUACAAGAAGUAUACAUCGAUAUACGAUGGUUGUAUAUGUUGUAUACAUCAGCAAAAAUCGGGCCAAAAGCCCCAAAAAUUUCCAGCUUUGUAUUUUGUUUAAUUGGGCCGAAACCCAUAUAUUUUAGAAAUUAUUUUGAUAGUUUUAGGGCAGGUGAAAGUUGGGCCAAAAGUCCAAAAGAAAGUUAAUUUUUUAUGAUAGUUUAAGACAGGUACAUAUGGGCCAAAGGUCCAAAGCAAAAAUUAGGCCCAAGUAUUGGCCCAGGCGAACAGAAACCAGACUUGGGCCCAAAUCUUCCUCUCUCCUUAUUAUAUAUAUCGUGUUAAUUUUAUUGUUAGUAUAUGCAUAUUUACUAAUUAAUUUUAAGGUUUUUAACUCAUAAUUCCCCAAAGGACACCCAUUUUGAGUUAGUUAACUUAUAGUACUUUAUCUUAAAAUAACCAAGUAUAUUUGUCUUUCCAAAUUGAAUUCUAAAAAAUUUAGAAGCUUUUCUCUAAUUAGACAUUUUUGAUAAUAUAUUCCCUUUCCUCUCUAAAUGAUUUUAAGUUAUAAAAUUCAUUUAUUCCGUAACUAGUCAAGCAUGCCUAUUGUUAGCCAAAUAUUUUAAUUGUCAGAUAAGCGCAAGUAAGCGGACAUUUUAGGUUCUUUCAAAACCUGUCUAAAACGUUAAUAUGAACCCCGAACCCCCUUUAAAGAUUUUCAUUAGAUUUUCUGUUUUUAAUCUUUUGAAAGAAUAGAAAAAUUAAGUGGCGACUCUUAAAACCCGUCGUUUUCUUUUUUUAAAAUAUAAAACAUAAUGCGACUCUGUUGGGGAAUUGAAUGGGUUAUAACCUUAAAAUUAACUUAUUUGGCUAUUUGUUUAAAUUGCUUAAUUGUUUCAAUUCUUGUAUAAUAUAAACUGUGACAUUCAUGGCUUCGAUUCCGCCAAAUGGCAAAUAGUUUGCAUUAGAAAAAAAGGUGGUUAUGUGGCUUUCCACGGCUGUCCUUCAGAAAAGUACCUUCAAAUUCUUUUGAAGUGAUAAACGAAUAGUUGGCUUGUGAUCAUCCAACGUUGUUUAUUAUACUUCACCCCGUAGUUUGUCCAACUCGGUUAACCAGGUCUUGUCUCAAAACCAACUCUUAGUCAACUAGCGUAGAGCGAAACCAAAUCCCUUUUAGCGCAUUGAACUAAGAUGACCCAAUACCCAAGGCGUGUUGGGCAUAUUAGAGAGACCACCUUGAGUCCAAAACUGCCGACGGCCCAAAUGGACGUUCAUAUUUAUGUGUUAAAUUUGAAAGAUGUAUACAUUUUUUAAAAACUCAUUGUCCCUUGGGGUAAGGAGUAGAUUAUAGCCUAUUAUAGUCAAAGAAAGAUCUUUAUAAGCUACUAAUCGAUCCAAAGGCAUUGUCACCCGGAGACGACAACAAGUUCAAGAAAGAUGGAUUUUCCAUGAAGGCAUAACUUAGGAUUGUACCUGUCACGACCCAAGCCUAGGGCCUAGACGUGACAUGGCGAAUGAGGAACCCGAAGGAACCCCAAACAAGCCUCUCAAACUUGUCAUCACACUUCAUCGGUCGCGGAAGUACAUUCAACAUUAAUUAACUGGAAAUAGGGACUAAGGGCAAACCAUUUCAAAAUGACAUCAUAGAACAAGAGUCAAGCUCAUUUACAAAAUACUUGUCCAACGCACACCUCUACAUACAUAGAUAGGACGGGGGCCAUGACAUAUUACCGGCUCCCCUCAUAGUCAAAAUACAAUUGCAAGCUAAAGUCUCAAAACAUAGGAGUAGGAAACAUAACAUAGCCCUCGAAUCAUUGAGGACUCACCAACAACUCGGAUAAGCACCGUACUAGCCACAUGAAUGAAGAGAAGGAUCAAGAGUAACUCCGGUCCCUACAUGGUGACAUCAUGUAGGCAAAAUAUACGUUAGUACUUGGAAUGUACUAAGUAUGCGGGGUACAACACAACAAUAGACAAGGACACAAUCGAAAUACAAGAAAUAGUUUCAUAGGCAUUAUGAAUAACAAUAUGAGGAUGCAUGAUCAAAGUGAAGUCAAAACAUGUUUAAGUAACUCUAUACUAAUAGUAGAUAUCAUAUGUGUAUGCAUGAUCCAACCAAUCUAUAACCCAACUUAGGAUGGGGGAUGCCGUUCACACCCGGACACCCUGGUGGCAAGGUAUAAACCCCUCACAUGGUUGAUGUUGGUCACACCCCAAGCAUCCUAGGUGGUGAGAUAUAAACCUCUCACAUGGUUGAUGUUGGUCACACCCCAAGCAUCCUAGGUGGUGAGAUAUAAACCUCUCACAUGGUUGAUGUUGGUCACACCCCAAGCAUCCUAGGUGGUGAGAUAUAAACCUCUCACAUGGUUGAUGUUGGUCACACCCCAAGCAUCCUAGGUGGUGAGAUAUAAACCUCUCACAUGGUUGAUGUUGGUCACACCCCAAGCAUCCUAGGUGGUGAGAUAUAAACCUCUCACAUGGUUGAUGUUGGUCACACCCCAAGCAUCCUAGGUGGUGAGAUAUAAACCUCUCACAUGGUUGAUGUUGGUCACACCCCAAGCAUCCUAGGUGGUGAGAUAUAAACCUCUCACAUGGUUGAUGUUGGUCACACCCCAAGCAUCCUAGGUGGUGAGAUAUAAACCUCUCACAUGGUUGUCCGGUUCUUUUCCCCCGGACCGGGCAUGGUCAUGCAACACUUUAUAUAGGAAAUUCCCAUUAGGCUCUAAUGCAAUCUCACGUAUGGAAUGAACAUAUACACAAGCUUAGUUUGUCAUCAACACAUCUCUGGAUUUCCAUACAUCUCAUAACUCAAGCUUUAAAGCAUCGAUUCAUCAAUUCUCCAUAGUUGGACAUUUUGUCAAACACCUUGAAGGCAUGUAAUGGAAUCAAAGAGCAUGGAAAAUAGGGUAGUAAUUAUGCAGCCAAACCAGUGAACAACCUACAACAACACCUUUUUAACACCCACAAUACCACAUGAAAAUCUCCACAUCCAUUCCAAAUUUAGGUUCAAGUUCUAGGGUCACAACAUGCUCAAAACAAUCACUUUUCAUGUUUAAAAUUCAAUGUGCAGGAAAUUAUUACAAAGAACAAGACUAAUUUAUGAAUCUUAACUUAAACCAUGAAUUAGUGAGUAGAAUAGAGUCUAGGCACUAUGGGUGGAAGGACCCAUGAGUUACCACAUACCUUGAGUUUCUUUUUAUGAAGGUCUUGAGAGUGUCUUCAAUGGAAGCUUGAAACUUGGAGCAAGAAUCUCUUCAAUCUUGAGGAAGGUUUUGGAUUAGGGUUCUUGAGAGAACUUGAGAGAAAAUGUGUCUAAGUAUGGGAGAGGUGUUUUUGGGAAAUGUUUUAGAGAUGGGAAUUGAACUAAUGGUAUAUAGGAAAUAACAUAUGCCCUUUGGAAAAAAUGGUCCAACACUUAGAAAAAAAUGAGGCGGGUGAACAGUAAAAACGCUCACUGGAAAUUGUCUUUCCUGCCGGACAGAUUUUACGAAAAUGGGCAUAACUUCUUCGUCCGAACUCCGAAUGAGGUGAAACGAAGUGCGUUAGGUAGCUAACUCAAAGGGCUUUCCAUAGAUAUGUUAUUGGCCACCCAAUAAUUUGUGUGCUAGGAGAUAUGACCCUCCAAAGUAGACCCUCGAAAAAGGCUUCACUUGGAAAUUUUGGAUUUUGAUACGGUUGCUCUAAAAAUUUGGGUUAGACCCCAUUUCCCACUCAAUUUGACCCCCCUAAACAAGAAUAUGAAAUCGGAUUUUCGAAAAACGAAACGGAUUUUUUUAUAUAUAGCUAAACAAGUUUCCGGUAACUUCCGAAGCACAUUUUUAAGAACUUUUUGGGUCAUUUCAGUACCCCUGCAUGGGACUGAUUAUUGUAUCCAUUUUCCCUAUUAUGUAUCCCUAUUCAGUUUUAUUCGCAAAGCUUGUAUAAAUUUGGGUUUUGGGGAAAUGUGAUGUUUCAAAUGAUGUAUACAUCUUUCAAAUCGUUAGGCCUAGCCUUGGCACAAAAGGGUCACAUAUAUGUUUAGAACGCCCAAUUUUGUUUAUGUGUUAUAACUGUUUGUGUGAAUAUGUUGCUUUAUUAGAAGAUGUUCUAGCCUACUCUAUAGGAAAUUUUCUAGAACCCCUAAGCACAAAUAACAAGUCAUUAUCGAAAAUACGUCUAAAUACUCCUCGAGUCUUUAGUUUCUCAACAAAACCUGAAUUUUAUUUUGAAUAUUACUCUCUCAUCUCAGAAAAAAGGUCAAUUCUUCAUCUCAAAAUCAAAAGGAGAUUCAAGUUGAUCGAACUACAUAGGACCUGAAUUCUCCCUCAUGAGAUAUGUAGGCAACCUUUCAAGGCUCGGUCCCCAUUUUUGAGAAAUUAUUUCUUUUCCAACUCUUGCAAGGAAACUAGAGUUACAUCUCGUUCGAAAAUCAAAAGUACUACGAUGAAAGAUACAAAGGGAUUUUGACUCAAUGCAAGUCAACAUUCCUGAUUCACUAACUCCAAAAUUAAAUAGACAAUUUUUUGUCUAUUUAGUCAUCUCCUAUAUUUGUGGCUAAUUUAUCUUCACAUAAAGCAACUUUUGUGUGCUUAUUAUGUUGUGUGUGAUAUCUUGUAUUACUUAUUACCUACACAAACUAACACAUUUGCCUUUUGAGUUAUUUUUCUUUGUGAGGUACUCAAAACUGAUUUGUGUUGAGAAAUUGGUUGAACAUUAAAAGUUCUCAAAGAUUCCAUCCUCAAUCGAAAUUUGUUGAAAGGAAAAAGAAAUGACUCAAAAUAGUGAGAAUAUUGGCCUAACCGAAGUUGCUAUAGUCCAACCCCCUGCCGUUGAACAAAAUGAGUUUCAUAGUUGAUCCAACAGAUUGCUAAAAUGAGGGUUGAGCUCCAGAGAAAGCAAGAUUUGCCAAUUCCGGCUGUCAAUGUCAACACUCUAGGUGAUGGAAGGCUUCCACUCAAUUUUCCUCCUAUGAAUUCAAACUCGGAACAUGUCCUUAAUAACCUACCCUCCAACCCUGCUCAAAAUCCCUCCACCAUCGGCUUAACUACUCCAAAUCUUCAGCACACCAUCACUUCAUGCCAAACAUUCCCUCCCUUUCAAAGCCUAAAUGUCAACAAUCCUCAAAUAUCUCUUUUCAUGUACCAGACCCCUUCUCAAGGAACUCAAAAUCCACCAAACACUCAAUCCUUACCUACAAAAGUAACUUUUGAUAUUUCUGUCCACACCGAAUCACACCUUCACUAUACUGCAUAUUCUAAACUUGACCACUACGAAGAGAAGGAGAAGGAGUGGAGGACCAAAGAGGAAAUGACUAAGAAGAUCAUGAAGGACGAGAUUGUGGAAGCGAUAAAAGAACUUCAUUACUCUUCAGAUGUUGUGGGGUUGUACUACGAAAAUUUAUGCAUUCAUCCGAAUUUAGACCUUCUGGGAGGGUUCAAAGUGCCAAAGUUCGUCACUUUUAAUGGAACUGAAAAUCCUCUAUCACAUCUGAAAGUUUAUUGUGAUCAACUCGUGGGAGUUGGAAAAAAUGAAGCAUUGUUGAUGUGUUUCUUCAAACGAAGUCUAAAUGGAGAAGCUCUGGAGUGGAAUACAUUACAAGAAUUAAAACAAUGGACGAGUUGGAAUGCACUCGCAAAGGAUUUCACUGAAAGAUUUGGACAUAAUGUAGAAGUUGCCCUUGAUCUCUACUAUUUGGAGAAAACCAAACAGAAGUCCACAGAAAACUAUCGAGAGUACGCUCUUCGUUGGAGAAAAGAGGUUGCUAGAGUUCAACUUCCCAUGUCUGAACAUGAGAUCACUGAAAUGUUUAUUUGAACUCAAAAGCCUGAGUACUAUGAAAGAAUGUUGUGUAUGAUGGGACAAAAAUUUGUUGAGAUCGUCAAGGUGGGAAAAGCUUUGGAAGAUGGUUUCAAGACUAGAAAAGUCACAAACCUUACCGCAUGGCAAGCUAAUGGAAAAGCUACCAGGAUCAGUGAUAUUGAUAUAUCAAAGGGAAAAGACGAAGAUGUAUAUGUUGUCAUGGCUACCUAUAUGAGUUCGGCUUCACAAAGAAAAUAUCAAAACCACAAUGUCAAUCAGAAAAAAUUUCCCCAUCCAAACUUCAGGAAGGCUACUAAGGUAUUUACACCAAUAAGGGAAUCUCAAACUCAACUUUAUGAAAGGUUGAAAGCAAUGGGUAUGCUCCAUCCUUUAGAAGGAAGAACAGCCAAUCCUUUAGGGAAAUUUCACAGGGCUGACCACAGAUGUGCUUAUCAUUCAGGGGUUGUUGGACGUGACACAAAAAAUUGUUUAACCCUCAAGCACAAGAUUCAAAACAUGAUCAACAACAAUUUGAUCAAUAUUGAGGAAACCACCUCAGAGGAUAACAUAUUAGAUGCUUAAGAGUGAGUGCAAGACUUUUCUAAACUGAGUCAUUUGAAGAUAUUCGUCAUCAAAGGUCGAAAAGAAGUAUGCCCAGCAUUGGCCAAAAUUCUACAUAUGAAGUUAUUGUUAUCUUUCUUUUGAAAAUGUAUAUUUAAUCUUUUUCUUCACAUUUUAUCGCACGUUCCUUGUAAUGAACUACGCUGACCUAAAUUCUCAAGAAUGAGAUACAUAGGCGGCAUGUGUCGGCCUCGGUUACCCCUUUAUUCAACUUUUAAUAUUUUCUUUGUACUUGAACUACAUUCGAUUUGAAUUCUCAAGAAUGAGAUACGUAGGCGGCCUAUGUCGGCCUCGGUCGUUUCCUUAUCAAAAUUUCCUAUUUUGUUAAUCCUUGAGAGAGGGAACUACGUUUGACCUGAUUCCUGCAUCAAUGGGAUACGUAGGUGCCAUAACGGCUCGGUCAUAUUCCCCGUAAGAUUUCCAUCUCACUUUUAAUGGAAACUGGGACAUAAUUUUUUAGAGGAUCUCAAAAAUUCAUUUGAAGGUGGGCUUCUUCAACAAGUCAAAGACUAAAGAUCAAAAUGCAACUGAGUUAGUUUUGAGUGGAUCUCGAAAAAUUAAGGUGAAAUUUUCUAGAGAAUCUAGUUUGCAACUGGGACAGAAUUUUUGAGAUCAUCUCAAAAAUACCACAAAAAUGUCAUUUGUUAAAAAACUUAUACUUAUUAUUAUUGAGGCAAACUGGGACAAAAUUUUGAGAAGGGACCUCAAUAUUCCAGAAUGAGCAACCUCAGAAUUAACAAAGCAAGUUACAAGAGUUUUUCCGUAUUUUAGACUGGGACAGAAUUUUUGAGAAGGGUCCUCAAAUAUUCCAUCAAGACUAUCUUACAAAGGACGGACGAGCGUAUAAGCCCACUGCAUGAAGACAAAACCAACACAAAUCAGUCUUUCGUGCUAAAAAAAAUUCUUUGGAUGCAGGAAUAUCGAAGUCACAAAAAUGGCAAUGUAAAGCUGUCACGUGUGACAAAAGGCGUCAUUUACACCCAUCAUGGCCUCAUCAACAUAACUUAGAAAACUUUCCAUCUCAUUUUAUCUUAUUUCAUUAUGUUGCCUCAAGUGAUUUAGAAACAGUCUCUUUUUAUUUUGCAGGAAUAUUGAAGACAAACGCUAAUAGAUUCUUUCAAAGUUUUAAGAAACAACUUGUUGGAGGAUUGCUAGUGAUGAGUCAUGAUCAAAGUCACAAUUAGGCUCACCACAACCUGAUCUUGAUAAGCCAAAUAACUUAAUCUAGCGCUUUAUCUUUAAUUUAUUCUUUACUUCAUCGUCGAUACUAAUGUUUGGUGUCAAGCUUUGCAGGUGAUAGUAUUGGUAAAGUCAGGAUCAUCUGUGAAAUCGACAUCAAAUCUGAAGAUGAUCAAAAGUGACAUUAUCUUAGAAGUAUUGCAAGGGAAAAUUACCAAGUCCAUCACAUCAGAAAAGAUGAUGGAGAUUGGAAUAUCCUCAUGACAUUCGAGUUAUCAAAUCGUUACAAGUUAUCAAUAACGAUUGAAGAUGUCAGCAACAAACUCAAAUUUUGUUGAGUUUGUCAAAGAAGACGGGAGUGAAUUUAAUCUUCAUGUGAAGGAAUUAAGUCAUUCAGCUCGAUAAUUCUAUUUUUUAAAGAGAGAGUUAUGGUCGCAACGUGCAUAUACGUCGAUAAAGUUUUUUUUAGUAUGAUUGUCGCGUAGCAAUUUAGACAUACGUGUUUCUUUACAAUGUUAGGGUCAAGAUUUCAAAAUUUGUUAGGUAUCCACCCCAUAAGUGGAUUAUAUGUUUUGAUUGGCUGAUCAAAUAUUUUAGUAUAUAAUUUUGUUGGGUGAUCCACCCUAUAAGUGAUUCGUAUAUUUGUUUGUCCAUUUCAGGUUCCUAUUUUGAACUAUGUUGGAUAAUUAUCGAGCAUCCACCUCGUUACAGCUGAGAUAUUAUCGAGCCAUCCACCUCGUUACAGUUGGAAUAGUAUCGAGCCAUUCAUCUCAUUACAUUUGGAAUAUUAUCGAGUCAUCCACCUCGUUACAGUUGGACUAUUACCGAGCAUCCACCUCGUUACAAUUGGAAUAUUAUCGAUCCAUCCACCUCGUUAAAGUUGGAAUAUUAUCGAGCCAUCCACCUCGUUAAAGUUGGAAUAUUAUCGAGCUUCCACCUCGAUACAACUGGAAUAUUAUCAAGUCAUCCACCUCGUUACAGUUGGAGUAUUACCUAGCAUCCACCUCGUUACAGUUGGAAUAUUAUCGAUUCAUCCACCUCGUUAUAGUUGGAAUAUUAUCGAGCCAUCUAUCUUGUUAUAGUUGGAAUAUUAUCGAGUCAUCCACCUCGUUACAAUUGGAAUAUUAUCGAGCAUCCACCGAAUAUUAUCGAGCUUCCACCUCGUUACAAUUGGACUAUUAUCGAGCAUCCACCUCGUUACAGUUGGAUUAUUGUCAAGCCAUCUAGCUCGUUGCAGAGAUCAUCGGAGUUCGCCAUGCACAUAACAAGCAAUGACAUCUCCAAAUCCUCACCAAAUCAUGAGUUAAUGGACAUACGGCGUUCGAAGGCGGUAUCCAUUAUCUUUUACUCUCAAUACUUCUUUAUUUUCUCAUCUAGUUGAAAAAGAUGUUUAUGCUUAUCCAUUAAGAUAUACUCUUUUAUUAUAUGAAUGAUCUUUUUUUUUUUUUUAUUCAAGCCACUAGCUAAAGCGGCACUAUGUCUACUGAUUGUUUACUUUGAGUGUGCAGAUAUAUACUGAACAUACCUAUAUGACAUCUUUCAAAGCAAGAGUGAUUUUAAAACACCAAGACGAUGGUGUAUCCACUGAAAUGUGCAAGAAGAUAACUGAAAAGCAUCGUAACAGAUGCUACCAUUUUUCCAGUUACAGCUUCUACUAACAAGUUUAUUUCAGUCUUUGUCGAGAGCAUCCAAGAGGAUGAAUUCUCAAAUCAAACCAGAGGUGCGGACGACAUCAACAAGGAUGCAGCACAAAGUGGAACUUUUUCUUAGCAGAGAACGGGGACAUAGUCCGGAGAGGAGUACCAAACUCUUAGGACGCGAGCUGAGAAGCGACUUCCACCACAAUCAAACCACACCCCUAUCAAAAGGCAUGUGUGUUUUCUUUGGGUUUUAUCGGUUUCAAUUUCUCAUCCAAAAAAAUUUGGUGUUUCACCGGAAACAACUUUCCAAUCUGAGUGACAAUGCGCCAAGAGCUUUGGAAAUUAUAUUAGUGUAAGUUCUUACUUAUGGGUGUGAAGCACGCCACAAUUCAUGGCUAAGAAGUUACAAGCCUCCUUUUCAUACUCGACUUAUUUUGUCUCUUCUCGACCAAAGAUUAUCUUGCAUAAUAUAUUUCCUUUUCAACUGAUCGAGUCGAACUACAAACAGCCUGAUUCCUUGGGUUGAAGGAUAUGUAGGCGGGCUCAAUGUUGAAAACUCGGCUGUAUUCCAACAAUCUCUCUCAAAUCUUAGUCCCGAGCAUUCUGAUUUCUUCAUAAUUUGAUAUCGGGAUACCUUUUGAAUUCUUUCAGAAUCGUGCGUGAAAUCAAGUCUGUUGAACUAUAAGUGGCAUAAAUUCUCAUAUAGCCGGAGAUAUGUAGGAAACCCAUUACCAGGGGUUCAACCAUAAUUCCUAAAGUCCGUACCAAAAACUCUUUUCUAAAGGAUGAAGAUGUGGUCGGUCAAAAUUGGAUCUGUCAAUUUCAUUUGCCUCAGAUUUCUUUCAUCAAUCCAAGUCAAACGAGGGACAAUUGUUGACUUUCAAUAUUGAACCUCCACAAUAAAAAUUAAUCAUCGAGCUUCUUAAAUUCCAAACAAUUUGAAAUAAUUAGUUUUUAUAAAGUUCAAAAUAAUUUUCAAGUUAGUUUUAAUUAAUUUCAUCAUUUUUAUAAUUUUUAAAUAGUAUAUUUUAUAAAUAUUCGAAAGUCAUCUCAAAAAGAUUUUGUUUAUUUGAAUAUUUGGCUAAUUAGUUUAAUCAUUCAAUAGUUUAUAUUUUUGAGUUAAUUAGUUCGUAAUUUAGUUGAUUAUUUUAUUUCGUUAGAAUUAAGAAGCUCAUUAAUUCGUCUUAUUUUAAUUUUGGCUAAUUUCAACCAAGUGCCUCAAUUUGAUCGAAAUUGCAAUUUUACGUGGUUAUUUUCUUAAUUCAAAUCGACCACAUUCUUGGUUAUCUUUUCGGACCCAAUUCUUAUUCCAUUAUUUCCAGCAACCAACAGACUUGGCCCAAACUUUCAUUCAGCAAUUGCCAACCCAACACCAAUUCCUCCACCAACCCGGCCCAAGCCAAAUCAAAAGAAACCAAUACAACAAUACUACGAUCCAAACGUACAGCAAUACCAAAAUAGUACCCGACCGAUCCGACCCUGUACUGUUCUUCUUCCUUGCGAUAAAAAAUCCAGGAAAUCGCGAGCCCAGCGGAUCAGAACCCGAACCAACAACCCAUCCUCUCCUCUCUAUACGAAGCAAUCCAGGUGUUGCAAUCUCAAUGCUCGAUCGUCCUUCUCUAGAAAUCAGACGGCUCCCUUCAUUUUUCAGUUGAAGAAUUGUACAAGAUCGUACUAAUUCCAGCAACCUUAUCCUUUAGAGGAGAAUUUGAAAUUCGAAUGGGAAUUCAUCCAAAAACCCACCCAAUUUCCCCCUUUUUCAGCCCUAUUCUCCUCUAUUUAAGCCUCUUUCUUCUUUAUUGCUAGAGGCUGAAGAAAAGGUUGGGAAUUUCAACUGAUAUAGAGAGAACUACCUAGCAAGAAAUAGUUAUAGAAAUUACAUAUGAAAUACGUUUGAAAUAGAUAGGAGGUUCAGUUUGAUCUCACUGUCGUGGUCUCGUUCAUUGAGACUUUUGGAGUUUCAUUGUGGUGGUGAUAGCACUCGUUUCAAGCUCGUCCUCCUGGUCUCGCUGCUCCGAAAAAGGUAAUUCCUUUCCCUUUAUUAAGUUCCUGCUUGUGUUGUUACCGUGUGUUAUUGAUUACCUUAUUUCUUAAUGUUCUACCCGACUCUUCUUAAAUUCUUUCAAUGCUCCGUCUUAAUUUUAUACAGAGCUUGUCGCGUUAGCAUUCAGAGUUUGGUUUGUUUUCUAUUAGAUUUGUAUAAUCGCGAUUCUUGUCUUAAACUCUGCUUGGCCGUAAAGUUCGACUCCUUCACUGUGUGUGGUGAUAUAGGUGUAAUUGUAGUCAUUUCUCUUUUGUUUUAAUACACUGUUCCAAACUCUUUAUCAAUAUUUAUGGCUUAACUAUUCUGUUUGAGAACUAGAUAGUUUCAAGUCAUUUAUGUGGGAUUCAUGCUUCAGAUAAUUGUUUGCUAGCCAUAUGUUUUUUUUUUUUUGUAUUUAUUUAAAGAGUGUUGAUUUAUUUUUUCUUGUUUAGAUGACCAAAUUUAUAUAUAUGGGUGCAUGCUUAUCUUUGGUCUCGGUAGAAGCUUUAAUGUGCAACAUAGUAUGUAUAAUUUUCUUUUUAUUAAUGCAUGUUAAUUGAUGUGAUAAUGCUAAUUACCAUUUCAUACCGCUUUGCUGCCUAAAUUUGAAGUUUAGUUCAAUUUUAGUUCUAUUUGUUGACUUCUCUCCUUGUCGACUUGUUAAUCUAUUAGAUUAAGUUGUUGGUCAUUCAAGCACAAUCCAUGUAUUAAUACACUUAAUAACCCUUUAACAAGUUGAUAUUUUUGCAUGAUGCAGUUACUGUCGUAGAUCUUGUUCAUUGAUCAAUUGCUAAUUAUUUUUAUUUCAUCUUGUGCAUGAUCUCUCUCCAUCCGAGUCCAUUUUGGACUCUCCCGUUUGCAUAUCCUCGAGUUUAAGUUCGAUUCUACCUCCUCGAUCCAACAAAGUUGAAAAGUAAGCUGAACUACAGGUGGAAGAGAGGCCGAGAUACGGAAGGUAUACAUGUUGUAUACGUUGAAUUAACAAGAUAUACAAGAAGUAUACAACGAUAUACGAUGGUCGUAUACGCUGUAUACAUCAGCAAAAAUAGGGCCAAAAGCACCAAAAAUUUCCAGCUUUGUAUUUUGUUUAAUUGGGCCGAAACCCAUAUAUUUUAGAAAUUAUUUUGAUAGUUUUAGGACAGGUGGAAGUUGGGCUAAAAGUCCAAAAGAAAGUUAAUUUCUUAUGAUAGUUUAAGACAGGUACAUAUGAGCCAAAGGUCCAAAGCAAAAAUUAGGUCUAAGUACUGGCCCAGGCGAAUAGAAACCAGACUUGGGCCCAAAUCUCCUUCUCUCCUUAUUAUAUAUUUCGUGUUAAUUUUAUUGUUAGUAUAUGCUUAUUUGCUAAUUAAUUUUAAGGUUCUUAACUCAUAAUUCCCAAAGGACACCCAUUUUGAGUUAGUUAACUUACAGUACUUUAUCUUAAAAUAACUAAGUAUACUUGUCUUUCC
rnacentral:lncRNA from 1 species